rnacentral:rRNA from 1 species
GAUGAACGCUGGCGGCGUGCCUAAUACAUGCAAGUCGAGCGAACAGACGAGGAGCUUGCUCCUCUGACGUUAGCGGCGGACGGGUGAGUAACACGUGGAUAACCUACCUAUAAGACUGGGAUAACUUCGGGAAACCGGAGCUAAUACCGGAUAAUAUAUUGAACCGCAUGGUUCAAUAGUGAAAGACGGUUUUGCUGUCACUUAUAGAUGGAUCCGCGCCGCAUUAGCUAGUUGGUAAGGUAACGGCUUACCAAGGCAACGAUGCGUAGCCGACCUGAGAGGGGGAUAGGCCACACGGGAAGGGAGACACGGUCAAGACGACUAAGGGAGGCAGCAGUAGGGAAUGUGACGCAAUGGGCGAAAGCCUGACGGAGCAACGCCGCGUGAGUGAUGAAGGUCUUCGGAGAGUAAAACUCUGUUAUUAGGGAAGAACAAAUGUGUAAGUAACUAUGCACGUAUUGACGGUACCUAAUCAGAAAGCCACGGCUAACUACGUG